rnacentral:snRNA from 1 species
AGCUUUGCGCAGUGGCAGUAUCUUAGCCAAUGAGGUUUAUCCGAGGCGCGAUUAUUGCUAAUUGAAAACUUUUCCCAUUUGUGCAGGUCAUAUUGCUCUAGAAAUUUUUAAAAAUCUUCAUGAGU